UCGGGNUAGCUCAUUUGGUANAGCAAAGGACUGAAAAUCCUC
rnacentral:tRNA from 1 species